CUAACACAUGCAAGUCGAACGGGGAUUUUGUUUCGGCAGAAUCCUAGUGGCGAACGGGUGAGUAACGCGUAGGCAACCUGCCCCCCGGUCUGGGACAACACCCCGAAAGGGGUGCUAAUACCGGAUCCGAAGAUGACACCGCAUGGUGUUAUCUUGAAAGAUGGCCUCUAUUUAUAAGCUAUCGCCGGGGGAUGGGCCUGCGUCCGAUUAGCUGGUUGGUGGGGUAACGGCCCACCAAGGCGACGAUCGGUAGCCGGUCUGAGAGGAUGAACGGCCACAUUGGGACUGAGACACGGCCCAGACUCCUACGGGAGGCAGCAGUGGGGAAUCUUCCGCAAUGGGCGCAAGCCUGACGGAGCAACGCCGCGUGGGUGAGGAAGUUCUUCGGAACGUAAAGCCCUGUUGUUUAUGACGAACGGGCUUCCUGUGAACAAUGGGAAGCAGUGACGGUAAUAGACGAGGAAGCCACGGCUAACUACGUGCCAGCAGCCGCGGUAAUACGUAGGUGGCAAGCGUUGUCCGGAAUUAUUGGGCGUAAAGCGCAUGUAGGCGGCGGUUUAAGUCUGUCGUGAAACUGCGGGGCUCAGCCCCGUAUGGCGAUGGAAACUGGGCGGCUUGAGUGCAGGAGAGGAAAGGGGAACUCCCAGUGUAGCGGUGAAAUGCGUAGAUAUUGGGAAGAACACCGGUGGCGAAGGCGCCUUUCUGGACUGUGUCUGACGCUGAGAUGCGAAAGCCAGGGUAGCGAACGGGAUUAGAUACCCCGGUAGUCCUGGCCGUAAACGAUGGGUACUAGGUGUGGGAGGUAUCGACCCCUUCCGUGCCGGAGUUUAACGCAAUAAGUACCCCGCCUGGGGAGUACGGCCGCAAGGCUUAAACUCAAAGGAAUUGACGGGGGCCGCACAAGCGGUGGAGUAUGUGGUUUAUUCGACGCAACGCGAAGAACCUUACCAGGGCUUGACAUCACUGAAAGAUGCAAAGAUGUAUCCCUCUCUUCGGAGACAGGAGACAGGUGGUGCAUGGCUGUCGUCAGCUCGUGUCUGAGAUGUUGGGUUAAGUCGCGCAACGAGCCCACCCCUAUUCCCAUGGUACCAUCAUUUGAUUGGGGACUCCAUGGGAAACUGCCAGGACACCCUGGAGCAGGCGGGAUUAACGUCAGGUCUCAGCCCUUUAGGUCCGGGCUUCAACUUACAUCACAGUGGCGGGCUACAAGGGAUCGUGAGCCGAGGCGUAAGCAAUCCCAAGCCCUGUCCUAUUGCGAUAUCUACGAGCUGUCGCACCCGCGUCGUAGU
rnacentral:rRNA from 1 species